rnacentral:rRNA from 1 species
UAGAAGAUGACGAGCGGCGGACGGGUGAGUAAUGCUUGGGAACAUGCCUUUAGGUGGGGGACAACCAUUGGAAACGAUGGCUAAUACCGCAUAAUGUCUACGGACCAAAGGGGGCUUCGGCUCUCGCCUUUAGAUUGGCCCAAGUGGGAUUAGCUAGUUGGUGAGGUAAUGGCUCACCAAGGCGACGAUCCCUAGCUGGUUUGAGAGGAUGAUCAGCCACACUGGAACUGAGACACGGUCCAGACUCCUACGGGAGGCAGCAGUGGGGAAUAUUGCACAAUGGGCGCAAGCCUGAUGCAGCCAUGCCGCGUGUGUGAAGAAGGCCUUCGGGUUGUAAAGCACUUUCAGUUGUGAGGAAAGGUUAGUAGUUAAUACCUGCUAGCUGUGACGUUAGCAACAGAAGAAGCACCGGCUAACUCCGUGCCAGCAGCCGCGGUAAUACGGAGGGUGCGAGCGUUAAUCGGAAUUACUGGGCGUAAAGCGUACGCAGGCGGUUUGUUAAGCGAGAUGUGAAAGCCCCGGGCUCAACCUGGGAACUGCAUUUCGAACUGGCAAACUAGAGUGUGAUAGAGGGUGGUAGAAUUUCAGGUGUAGCGGUGAA